AUUUGAUAAGACUUAGACCUUGCUUCUGCUCUUUACGUGUAGAGAAUUGGUUAUCACAAACACUUGCUUUGGAGACCAGAGGACACAGAGAAGGCCGAGUUUUUCCUGUUCAGCCAUUCUGUUUCACAGUGGUUUCACAGAGGAAAUAAUAACUGCUGCAGUGACCUAGCAGUUUCUACUCCAUGCAAGUCUAAGUAAUUCAGAGGGGACGCUGCACAUCAGUCAUUGUUUUGUCUCUAAGAUUCAGUGGUAAAGAAGCACCUAUAUAUUCAAGAGAAAAGAAAGUAGAGGCAUGAAUUCGGAGAAUUAUUUAAGCCCAAUCCUCCAUGUGCUGAAUGAAAAUCACAGGCUCCAACAAAAUUACAGACAGGGUAUCACUGUCACACAGGCUGGAUGGAGGGCAAUGUUGUGA
rnacentral:lncRNA from 13 species